rnacentral:rRNA from 1 species
CCUACGGGGGGCUGCAGUGGGGAAUAUUGGACAAUGGGUGCAACCCUGAUCCAGCCAUGCCGCGUGUGUGAAGAAGGCCCUCGGGUUGUAAAGCACUUUCAGUGAGGAAGAACGCCUGGUGGUUAAUACCCAUCAGGAAAGACAUCACUCACAGAAGAAGCACCGGCUAACUCCGUGCCAGCAGCCGCGGUAAUACGGAGGGUGCGAGCGUUAAUCGGAAUUACUGGGCGUAAAGCGCGCGUAGGUGGCUUGAUAAGCCGGUUGUGAAAGCCCCGGGCUCAACCUGGGAACGGCAUCCGGAACUGUCAAGCUAGAGUGCAGGAGAGGAAGGUAGAAUUCCCGGUGUAGCGGUGAAAUGCGUAGAGAUCGGGAGGAAUACCAGUGGCGAAGGCGGCCUUCUGGACUGACACUGACACUGAGGUGCGAAAGCGUGGGUAGCAAACAGGAUUAGAUACCCUAGUAGUC